GAUCAUGGCUCAGGAUGAACGCUAGCGACAGGCUUAACACAUGCAAGUCGAGGGGCAGCGGGGGUAGCGAUACCCGCCGGCGACCGGCGCACGGGUGAGUAACGCGUAUGCAACUUGCCUAUCAGAGGGGGAUAACCCGGCGAAAGUCGGACUAAUACCGCAUGAAGCAGGGAUCCCGCAUGGGAAUAUUUGCUAAAGAUUCAUCGCUGAUAGAUAGGCCCAUGCGUUCCAUUAGG
rnacentral:rRNA from 1 species